GUACAGCUUCGACUAGUUCAGAUGUACAGACAUCUUACGGCCCACUGGGACUCUCGGACCGAGGAGAAGGAGCUGACGGAAACGCGAGUCUCCAUGCUACCUACAUACUUUAUCGAGCAUGAGCGGGUUGUGCCCAGGAGGUCACUCAACAUCAUUGUCCUGUGCUGUUUAUCCCAGCUGUAUGCAGAGGAUCCCAGUCCGUGUCCUCUACGUCUCCAUCGUCAGAGUGAGCAGGUUGGAAAGGUGGCACAGAACUACAGUAAAAAAGUUGCACAGAGAGAUAAGUGAUAUUAACAGCCCCGCUGGGUUGUCAUGUUGGAGAACUCCUGUGAAGAACAAGUAAACACUCUGUGGUUAAAAGUGCAUGAAGUGCAGAUGUUUAGAGUGCCAAAGCGUGCAAAGGAAG